UACGUAGGGUGCGAGCGUUGUCCGGAAUUAUUGGGCGUAAAGAGCUCGUAGGCGGCCUGUCGCGUCGGUUGUGAAAGCCCGGGGCUUAACCCCGGGUCUGCAGUCGAUACGGGCAGGCUAGAGUUCGGUAGGGGAGAUCGGAAUUCCUGGUGUAGCGGUGAAAUGCGCAGAUAUCGGGAGGAACACCAGUGGCGAAAGCGGCUACCUGGCCCAUUCUUGACGCUGAGGCGCGAAAGCUAGGGGAGCAAACGGG
rnacentral:rRNA from 1 species